rnacentral:tRNA from 1 species
CCAAGGUCCUGAGGUGGAGACACGCCGAAGUGCAAAUUCGGAGACGCACCCCAAAGGGUGCCGGGGCUUCUCCCGUUU